CUACGGGGUGCACCAGUGGGGAAUAUUGCACAAUGGGGGGAACCCUGAUGCAGCAACGCCGCGUGGAGGAUGACACAUUUCGGUGCGUAAACUCCUUUUAUAUAAGAAGAUAAUGACGGUAUUAUAUGAAUAAGCACCGGCUAACUCCGUGCCAGCAGCCGCGGUAAUACGGGGGGUGCAAGCGUUACUCGGAAUCACUGGGCGUAAAGAGCAUGUAGGCUGGUUUGUAAGUUGGAAGUGAAAUCCUAUGGCUUAACCAUAGAACUGCUUCCAAAACUACUUACCUAGGGUAUGGGAGAGGUAGAUGGAAUUUCUGGUGUAGGGGUAAAAUCCGUAGAGAUCAGAAGGAAUACCGAUUGCGAAGGCGAUCUACUGGAACAUUACUGACGCUCAGAUGCGAAAGCGUGGGGAGCAAACAGGAUUAGAUACCCCGGUAGUC
rnacentral:rRNA from 1 species